rnacentral:rRNA from 1 species
GACGAACGCUGGCGGCGUGCCUAAUACAUGCAAGUCGAACGAGCGGCGGACGGGUGAGUAAUGUAUGGGGAUCUGCCCGAUAGAGGGGGAUAACUACUGGAAACGGUGGCUAAUACCGCAUACUAUCGGAUGGACCCAUAUGGGAUUAGCUAGUAGGUGGGGUAAAGGCUCACCUAGGCGACGAUCUUUAGCUGGUCUGAGAGGAUGAACAGUCACACUGUGACUGAGACAACGCCCAGACUCCUACGGGCGGAAGCAGUGGGGAAUAUUGAACAAUGGGGGGAAGCCUGAUCCAGCCAUCCCGCGUGCAUGAAGAAGGCCUUAGGGUUGUAAAGUACUUUCAGCGUGGAGGCGUUACCCGCAGAAUAGGCACCGGCUAACUCCGUGCCAGCAGCCGCGGUAAGUC